rnacentral:rRNA from 1 species
GUUAGGAAUAUUGGACAAUGGGCGCAAGCCUGAUCCAGCCAUGCCGCGUGAGUGAUGAAGGCCUUCGGGUUGUAAAGCUCUUUAGUCCACGAAUAUAAUGACUGUAGUGGAAGAAUAAGCCCCGGCUAACUUCGUGCCAGCAGCCGCGGUAAUACGAAGGGGGCGAGCGUUAUUCGGAAUCACUGGGCGUAAAGCGUGCGUAGGCUGUUUUGUAAGUCAGAAGUGAAAGCCCAGGGCUUAACCCUGGAAUUGCUUUUGAAACUACAAGACUCGAAUUCGGGAGAGGAUAGCGGAAUUGUCAGUGUAGCAGUGAAAUGCGUAGAUAUUGACAGGAACACCAGUGGCGCAAGCGGCUAUCUGGACCGAUAUUGACGCUGAGGCACGAAAGCGUGGGGAGCAAACAGGAUUAGAAACCCGUCC